CGGCCGUCUCCAUGGCAGCGGGGGCGGGGGUGUUUUAGGACGUCCCGGAGACCAUUGCGGGUGGUUGCUUUCCUUUUCAAAGGCGACGAGGCUAAAGAGUACAAAACUGGGGCAAACAACUGGAGAUGCCAUCCUCUUUGGCCCAGGAGGUUCACCUUGCUAGAAGACAUGAGGAGAUGAUAUAGAAGCAGCAGAAAAAAGGCUGCAGGAAAGAGUGCAUUUACUUCCACAUCCUGAUACUGUUAAGUUAGAAACGAGGUACAUGCACGGAUACCAGGCGAGCCCAGCCGCUGCUCCAGCUUCCCUAGUCGUCCUCCUCAUCCUCCUCAUCGCUGUCCUUCAU